UACGGAGGGGGCAAGCGUUGUUCGGAAUUACUGGGCGUAAAGGGCGCGCAGGCGGCUGCUCAAGUCAGGCGUGAAAGGCCUGGGCUCAACCCGGGAAUUGCGCUUGAGACUGGGCUGGCUUGAGUGCGGGAGAGGAUGGUGGAAUUCCCAGUGUAGAGGUGAAAUUCGUAGAUAUUGGGAAGAACACCAGUAGCGAAGGCGGCACUCUGGGCCGUGACUGACGCUGAGGAGCGAAAGCGUGGGUAGCAAACAGG
rnacentral:rRNA from 1 species